AUUGAACGCUGGCGGCAGGCCUAACACAUGCAAGUCGAGCGGAUGAAGAGAGCUUGCUCUCUGAUUCAGCGGCGGACGGGUGAGUAAUGCCUAGGAAUCUGCCUGGUAGUGGGGAACGACGUUUCGAAAGGAACGCUAAUACCGCAUACGUCCUACGGGAGAAAGCAGGGGACCUUCGGGCCUUGCGCUAUCAGAUGAGCCUAGGUCGGAUUAGCUAGUAGGUGGGGUAAUGGCCCACCUAGGCGACGAUCCGUAACUGGUCUGAGAGGAUGAUCAGUCACACUGGAACUGAGACACGGUCCAGACUCCUACGGGAGGCAGCAGUGGGGAAUAUUGGACAAUGGGCGAAAGCCUGAUCCAGCCAUGCCGCGUGUGUGAAGAAGGUCUUCGGAUUGUAAAGCACUUUAAGUUGGGAGGAAGGGCAGUAAGUUAAUACCUUGCUGUUUUGACGUUACCAACAGAAUAAGCACCGGCUAACUUCGUGCCAGCAGCCGCCGUAAAAC
rnacentral:rRNA from 1 species